GACCACAACCAGUCUAUCUUCAGGUUGGAAGACGAGGAGAACGGUCAGCCCCAACUCUGCCUUUUACAGGGGGGGAGGACGAGGUUGUCUGUAUGGGGAAAUAUUACUACUACGAUUGCUGUGAAGAAACAGGAGGACCCGGUUGAUUUAAAACAGAUGGAUGGUCCCAGGCGACGUCACCAUCAACCGUCAGCACGAAGCUCGAGAACCUACUGCUGUUAUUCUGAAGGUGCUCGUUUCGUUUACAUCGCUCUGCUCAUACAGACAAGUCGGCAGUUGUGAGAGGCGCUUGACAACCCCACUAGAUCCACCCUUGUCUUCUGAGGCACUUCCUCCCACAAUAUAAGAUGAAGUAGCAUACGACGUUGCACAGGUGUGUGUAUCCAGCCUAGCCGCGUGGGUCUGGGUGGGCCCGAGGGGUUGGCUGUUAUCUUUGGUUAUCUAGCUGUAUGAGUGGUGUACAUUCUUCAUAAAGCUAGAUAACCGAAAGUAACAAGAAUCCCAUUGCGCUCCCGCAAGGCCUGUUUCUUGUGCCCGACAAACAAAACAAAAUGGCCGACGCCCGAGAGGAAGUGACUCAGCGUUUGUGCCCAGCCAACCGAUCAGAAGACUUAAAGGUGACCCAUCACAUUGAAGUUAUGAUGUCAAGGCCAGUCAUCUGGCUCCGCCUCCCUCUGAAGUCCACCACCUGCCGACGGCCACCCCACCUCACCAAUAGGGAUGUCCAUUUCCGAACAUAGUGGUGCCCACCUCACCUAAAUGGAAGCGGAUUGAAUCCUCUUGUUAAACCUGAAGCACUUUGUUGCAAUUGAGGGAUCUCCCUUCAGCCUGGACUGAACAUGGGGUAAUGUACUGUUGAGUCAUGGAUACCAAUGGAUACUCAACCACAGCUGAAAAUAGGGUAAUGUACUGUUGAGUCACAGAUACCAAUGGAUACUCAACCACAGCUGUGUCUGUGGGCCUAACCCCCAGACUGUCUUCUGAACGUCCGGAUAUACCAAUCAAAGUAGAAGUUUAAACGGACCACUGUGAACUGUUGCGUUUCUGUCCUCCCACAGCUAACUGGCUGGAUACAUGGACACAAAUGGACAUAUCUGCGAUAAGCAGACGGAUGUGGACCAUGAUAGUUGAGAAGAACGUAGACUAAUACCCAUAUUGAAGCAUAUUGGACUGGCGUAUGGAACGCCCAUGAGUCCGAAUGGUAGACACAUAGACCUUGAAGCGGAGUUGUUGUUCCGGAGCCGGAGUAUACCAUUCAACACAGACGGCAUAGGCCACUAGCCCCGUGUUUAGUGAGGGUUGUGAGAAGUGUGCGUGUGCGCUGUGUGCGCUCUGUUGUGAUGGUACACCGGCCUCUCUGAGACGACUCUACACACAGCUGUAUCUGUCACAUCUGCCGUACGUUCGGGGCCGCGGGUCAGCUGAUCUGUCGAUGCGUAUGUGUGCUUGUUUGUUUACUUGUGCUUGUCUGUGUAUGUGCACGCACUUCGCGUCAGCCUCACUCAGCGCAAGUUCUGUUCUCGGAUUGUAAGCAACACACACACACACACACACACACACACACACACACACACACACACACACACACACACACACACACACACACACACACACACACACACAUAGUAAAGGUCUUGUAAACUGCUUCUGGUUAAUGGUCAUUGGAUUUAUCAUGCACGUAUGCUACAGUACCUGGCAAAAAUAUAUAUAUUUGACACUGGAGGUUAUAUGGCUUAUUGGUGGAAUCCACCACUGAUUUUAUUAUCAAGGGGAGGCAAACAAGUAUUUUAUAUUGGACAGAGCACAUAGUAUUCCGAUAAUGUGUGUAUAGAUAGAACACAUGAAAUUCAUUAAAAAUAGAAACAUAGAAAUGCAUCUUGAAAUCUAUGCAAAUGAAUCAACAAACAAUUUUAUCAUUUGCUUCUGAGAAUCAUUCAAAUUCUCAGAGGGUUUCGAUUUUUUUUCCCAAGGACAAUCCUGUUAAAUAUUGUAGGGUGAUGCGAGAGAAAUGGAAUGAAAGUGCAACGUAGAAUGGUUUCUGCUCUCUGGUCCAGACCAAAAAAAUAUGUUGGGAUUUUACCCUUGUUUUUCCUCAACAGCUUUGAUACAUUUUUAAACAAAUGUAUCAAUAUCGAAAUAUAAACGUUGGACUGGUUCAUUCACUUAACUGUGCAGGGACAUCUAUACAUCUUCAGAUUGGUUCUAAUGGAUCGACUGCAAAGUUUCAUGUACAUUUUUCCACACAACUCCAAUUACUUCUGGGAUUUCAUGUGGACAUUUUUACUCUGUGCAGCUUUUAUAUUUUGUAACUUUUGCCGCUUUUUGUAACCAAUAAUGUGACUAAUCAUUCGGAGCAACUGCAAUUCAUAUUUAGAUUUUUUUGGGGGGGGGGAUUUAACUUCCACAAUGUUGAAAAUGUUUCAUAUUUUUCCUGUUGCAAGUUUUAGAAAAACGAUGCAAUGGCUGUAUGAAAAAUGUGUUUGAUAGUGUGAUGUACUGUACAGUUUAACAACAAUGUGUACUCCACAUGAACAACACAUAUGCACUAUAUGAGCAAGUAUGCAAUAUCCUAUAGUCUAGAAAUACUGUUAUCAAGACCACACUAUAUGUAGUGGGUUACUAUGCAAUAUGUUGUGAGGAUUGUGCAAUCAGAGUGAAUGUGGGCUCUACACGAGGAGUUUAAACUAAACAGUCAGAGUGAAUGUGGGCUCUACACGAGGAGUUUAAACUAAACAGCCAGAGUGAAUGUGGGCUCUACACGAGGAGUGUAAACUAAACAGUCAGAGUGAAUGUGGGCUCUACACGAGGAGUUUAAACUAAACAAUCAGAGUGAAUGUGGGCUCUACACGAGGAGUUUAAACUAAACAGUCAGAGUGAAUGUGGGCUCUACACGAGGAGUUUAAGCUAAACAGUCAGAGUGAAUGUGGGCUCUACACGAGGAGUGUAAACUAAACAGUCAGAACGAAGUAUCUGUAGAUGUACGUAUCAUGUAGAAAGCAAGAGUGUAAUUGAUGGAAUGUGUGCACUAUUUGGAAUGUAUGCAAUUUGUAUGGAGGAAGUAUGCACUAUGUUGAGGGUGAACGCAAUGUUUUAAUGACAAUGUUGGAUUUUAAAGAGAUGCUUGCAUGAGUGCACUAUGUCCCUCAAAAUGCAUAGCCUAUGUUAGUUAUGUUUGCACAUGGCCUCUGAAUCCUGACUGUAUGGGACUGAUUCAUUCUUGUACCAUGUACUGUGAAGUAUGCAGGAUUAGUUUACACAAUCAAUAAAGGUUUACAUUGGAAGAAAAAAAAU